AACAGUUUUUUGGUAUGCUGUCGAAUUCAAUUGGAAAUCUUGUGAAUUUGGAGCUACUAAAAGUUUAUGAUAACAUGCUUUUUAGAGAAAUACCAGGAACUUUGGGAGAACUUAUUCGACUAACGGAGUUGGAGCUAGGCGGAAAUCGAUUUACAAGAAGUAUUUAUUUUCAUUUGGAAGAUUGUCUGGUCUUCAGGUAGCACUUCAUCUUAGUCACGACAAUCAUUAUGGUACAACUCCUGAUAGCUUAGGAAGCCUGUAAAUGUUGGAAUCACUUUAUUUGAAUGAUAAUCAACCCUUCGGAAAAAUUCCUUCAUCAAUUGGUGAUUUGCCUAGUCUUUUAGUAUGCAAUGUAUCUAACAAGAAGCUCACAUGAACUGUUCCCGACACAACUACAUUUAGAAAAAUGGAUUUAACGAAUUUCGUCGAAAAUAAUGAUUUAUCAGAACGAUCGCUUCCGUUCAAGUUCUUAGUCCAGAAUAGUCUGGUUCUCCUUGGAGACUUCUUGAGGUUAUAUGGGAUGAACCUAAGUUACUUCAAAAUUUGAAAAGAGUGAAUCUAUGGCAAGUUGAAAUAGUAUCAAGCAUGCCUUCCAUCCAUCUUUCACCUUUCAUACCACCAACAAUGAAGAAACGGGUAUUACCUUAACACAUAACUUAUUGAAAUACAUAACUUAUUUUAUCCAAGAUAUACCUUUUAUUUCUCACAUUUCCUUAUAACUUCUAACAUUCUUGUCCCAUAUUUUACUAAAAGAAUCACAAUUAUAAUUUAUAUUAGAGUUAAAUGAAAAAUCAAACCAAAAUUGGGAUGCAGCUUCAUAUGAAAAUCACAAGGAGGAUGACAUGUCUCAAGAUUAUUCAAUUACAUAGGUUUCAAGUGAUAAAGAAAACAAAUCUGAGGUUGAAUUUCAAGAACAAAGGAUUGAUAAAGCUGAGUCCACCAACUUACACCAAACAACACUACAUGAAAGUAAUAAACUGGAAAUGAUGACAACUCAAUUGAAGGAUGGCAGAAGGCUGUUCCAAAAGGUCGUUCACUCAUCGGUCAAAAGUCAUCUUCAUCAAAGAGACCUACCUUAGAAAAAUUGAAGGACUCUAAUCUUUUAUUGUAUGAGUACAUGGAAAAUGGAAGCCUUGGUAAAAAGUUUCGUUCAAGUUCAACAUUUUGCGUAUUGGAUUGGGAUGUUCGAUAUGAAGUAGCUCUAGGGAUAUUUGCAACAAUAUCUAAAAUUAUUUAUGAUUUGCGAACAUGAUAUAAAUUUUGUUUAGGAGAAUUACAAUAGUUGAGUCAUGCUUUAAUUAAUAUUUAGUUAUGAUUUAUGAACAUGAUAUAAAUUUUGUUUAAGAGUA